UAUAUACUCGAGACCGAUAGCACAAAAGUACCGUGAGGGAAAGGUGAAAAGAACUUUGAGAAGAGGGUUAAAUAGUGCCUGAAAUCGUUGAGAAGGA
rnacentral:rRNA from 1 species